GCCCGAGUGGUGAAAUCGGUAGACACAAGGGAUUUAAAAUCCCUCGCUUUUCGAAGCGUGGCGGUUCAAGUCCGCCCUCGGGCA
rfam:Pasteurella multocida subsp. multocida str. Anand1_cattle contig1342, whole genome shotgun sequence.